ACGGGUGGUAAUGCCGGAUGCUCCAGUUGGAUGCAUGUCCUUCUGGGAAAGAUUCAUCGGUAUGGGAUGGGGUCGCGUCCUAUCAGCUUGAUGGCGGGGUAACGGCCCACCAUGGCUUCGACGGGUAGCCGGCCUGAGAGGGCGACCGGCCACAUUGGGACUGAGAUACGGCCCAGACUCCUACGGGAGGCAGCAGUGGGGAAUAUUGCACAAUGGGCGCAAGCCUGAUGCAGCGACGCCGCGUGCGGGAUGACGGCCUUCGGGUUGUAAACCGCUUUUGACUGGGAGCAAGCCCUUCGGGGUGAGUGUACCUUUCGAAUAAGCACCGGCUAACUACGUGCCAGCAGCCGCGGUAAUACGUAGGGUGCAAGCGUUAUCCGGAAUUAUUGGGCGUAAAGGGCUCGUAGGCGGUUCGUCGCGUCCGGUGUGAAAGUCCAUCGCUUAACGGUGGAUCCGCGCCGGGUACGGGCGGGCUUGAGUGCGGUAGGGGAGACUGGAAUUCCCGGUGUAACGGUGGAAUGUGUAGAUAUCGGAAAAGAACACCAAC
rnacentral:rRNA from 1 species